rnacentral:sRNA from 2 species
CGCCCGUCACACCAUGGGAGCUGGUAAUACCCAAAGUCGGUUUGCUAACCUCGGAGGCGACCGCCUAAGGUAGGACUGGUGACUGGGGUGAAGUCGUAACAAGGUAUCCCUACGAGAACGUGGGGAUGGAUCACCUCCUUUCUACGGAGUACACUUAGUUAUGGAAUAAUAUUUGUAUCCAGUUUUGAGAGAUUUAUCUCUCUACUUGUUCUUUGAAAACUGAAUAUCGACAUUGAUAUAUUAAUUAAUAUUUCAAAGUUUAGAUCAACCUAUAGAAUAUUUAUAAAAGACAACAAUAGGUCAUACAACAAAUCAAGUAUAACGAAACAACUAUUAAACAAGAUAAGAGUUUUUGGUGGAUGCCUUGGGUCUGGAAGUCGAUGAAGGACGUGAUUACCUGCGAUAAGCCUCGGUUAGCUGGAAAUAAGCUGUUAUCCGGGGAUUUCCGAAUGGGGAAACCUAAUUGAGCUAAUCCUCAAUUAUCAUAUCGAUGAAUUCAUAGUCGAAUGAAGAGACACGCUGUGAAUUGAAACAUCUCAGUAGCAGCAGGAAGAGAAAAUAAAGAAUGAUUCCCUCAGUAGUGGCGAGCGAACGGGGAAGAGCCUAAACCAACACAUGUUGUUGGGGUUGUAGGACUACUUACAUGAAGUUAAAAAAUUUACGUAUAGCAGAAUAAGUUGGAACGCUUAAACAUAGAGGGUGAAAUUCCCGUAAGCGAAAUGCGUAAAUCUUCAAGUAGCAUCCUGAGUAGGGCGGGGCACGUGAAACCCUGCCUGAAUCCGCCGGGACCACCCGGUAAGGCUAAAUACUAACCAGACACCGAUAGUGAACUA